rnacentral:rRNA from 1 species
AACGAACGCUGGCGGCAUGCCUAACACAUGCAAGUCGAACGAGACCUUCGGGUCUAGUGGCGCACGGGUGCGUAACGCGUGGGAAUCUGCCCUUGGGUUCGGGAUAACAGUUGGAAACGACUGCUAAUACCGGAUGAUGACUUCGGUCCAAAGAUUUAUCGCCCAGGGAUGAGCCCGCGUCGGAUUAGCUAGUUGGUGAGGUAAAGGCUCACCAAGGCGACGAUCCGUAGCUGGUCUGAGAGGAUGAUCAGCCACACUGGGACUGAGACACGGCCCAGACUCCUACGGGAGGCAGCAGUGGGGAAUAUUGGACAAUGGGCGAAAGCCUGAUCCAGCAAUGCCGCGUGAGUGAUGAAGGCCUUAGGGUUGUAAAGCUCUUUUACCCGGGAAGAUAAUGACUGUACCGGGAGAAUAAGCCCCGGCUAACUCCGUGCCAGCCGCCGCGGUAAAAC